rnacentral:rRNA from 1 species
CCAGACUCCUACGGGAGGCAGCAGUGGGGGAUAUUGCACAAUGGGGGGAACCCUGAUGCAGCGACGCCGCGUGGGCGAGGGAGCGCCUCGGCGCGUAAAGCCCUUUCGGCGGGGGAGAACGAUGACGGUACCCGACGAAGAAGCACCGGCUAAAUACGUGCCAGCAGCCGCGGUAAUACGUAUGGAGCAAGCGUUAUCCGGAUUUACUGGGUGUAAAGGGAGCGCAGGCGGUCUGGCAAGUCUGAUGUGAAAUACCGGGGCUCAACUCCGGGACUGCAUUGGAAACUGUCAGACUGGAGUGUCGGAGAGGCAGGCGGAAUUCCUGGUGUAGCGGUGAAAUGCGUAGAUAUCAGGAGGAACACCAGUGGCGAAGGCGGCCUGCUGGACGAUGACUGACGCUGAGGCUCGAAAGCGUGGGGAGCAAACAGGAUUAGAUACCCCCGUA